GCUUCUCGCUUCAACUUUAAUUUUAAAGGGAAAAAGAAAACACCGAUUUCCAUUUCCAUUUUCUACAAAAUCAAGACUGUACUCCUUUGCAAAGUCUAGCAGGUCUUGGACCCAAGCCGGACUGAAAAGCAAGUUCAUCUGGGACCCUGCCCUCCAAGAAGAUCAUAGCAGCCUUAGACAGAAAAUUCCUGAAGAUUUUUAACCUCAGAGGCAGUGGAACCAGGCUUCAUCCAUCUAUGUCCCAUCUGAAGGUACCUUCACCUCCAGUCUUGGCUCAGGCAGGCCUGGGACCAAGAAGCCAGAGGCCCCUAUGGAGCAUCCAAAUGGACCAUGACUGUUUAGAGUUCCCAGG
rnacentral:sRNA from 1 species